rnacentral:rRNA from 1 species
AGAGUUUGAUCCUGGCUCAGGAUGAACGCUAGCUACAGGCUUAACACAUGCAAGUCGAGGGGAAACGAUAUUGGAAGCUUGCUUCCGAUAGGCGUCGACCGGCGCACGGGUGAGUAACGCGUAUCCAACCUGCCCACCACUUGGGGAUAACCUUGCGAAAGUAAGACUAAUACCCAAUGAUAUCUCUAGAAGACAUCUGAAAGAGAUUAAAGAUUUAUCGGUGAUGGAUGGGGAUGCGUCUGAUUAGCUUGUUGGCGGGGUAACGGCCCACCAAGGCAACGAUCAGUAGGGGUUCUGAGAGGAAGGUCCCCCACAUUGGAACUGAGACACGGUCCAAACUCCUACGGGAGGCAGCAGUGAGGAAUAUUGGUCAAUGGACGAGAGUCUGAACCAGCCAAGUAGCGUGCAGGAUGACGGCCCUAUGGGUUGUAAACUGCUUUUAUAAGGGAAUAAAGUGAGUCUCGUGAGACUUUUUGCAUGUACCUUAUGAAUAAGGACCGACUAAUUCCGUGCCAGCAGCCGCGGUAAUACGGAAGGUCCGGGCGUUAUCCGGAUUUAUUGGGUUUAAAGGGAGCGUAGGCCGGAGAUUAAGCGUGUUGUGAAAUGUAGACGCUCAACGUCUGCACUGCAGCGCGAACUGGUUUCCUUGAGUACGCACAAAGUGGGCGGAAUUCGUGGUGUAGCGGUGAAAUGCUUAGAUAUCACGAAGAACUCCGAUUGCGAAGGCAGCUCACUGGAGCGCAACUGACGCUGAAGCUCGAAAGUGCGGGUAUCGAACAGGAUUAGAUACCCUGGUAGUCCGCACGGUAAACGAUGAAUGCCCGCUGUUGGCCUGAAUAGGU